AUUAAAGACAAUAAAUAAGAAUUUUGAGACAAAAAAUCUGUCACCAUGUAUAUAACUGGCCAUAACUCUAAAUUACAUUAAAUGCCAAAAUUCCCAUAUUAUCUAUCAAAACAGAACAUGCAUAAGUAGUUCAGGACUUCAAACACAAACUACCUUCAUUGUGGUUUCUUGAUCAUCAGGAAUGCAAUAGUUACUCUCUUUUGACCAAGACCAAACCAGCUAUAAUUUGGUGUGUUUGCUCCAUCUCCUGAGUUCUUGAUAUUAUGCGGAGAGAUGCAGAAAAAGAUCCUGUAACUGAUUCGAAUGCAUCGCGUGCUAGGCUUUUAAUUAAUCAGGUGAAGGAAUAGGGAGGUCUGUUUGCAUUGUUGUAUUCAGAAGGCAUUUGGAUUUUGUUUCUAGAAGAGAAAGGGGACUGACUCGGGGAGUCAGUGUAACUUCACGGGCUUAGUGUCCUCUCUCAUCAUCCUUCUUUAUCUUGUUAUUAUUUCCACAAGGGUUAUUUUCUUGAUGUAAAUGCUUAGCAGAGUUGGGUUUUGUUGAUGAGCUUAGAACACUAGGUGGAGGGUUUUAUUCUAUUAAGAUAGGUUGACACUGGUGAUUUGGGUGGAGGAUGUGUAGCGAGCGUGAAGAGGAUUUUGGAAAACCAACAACAAAUGAGGACGAUUCUGUGAAAUUACAAUCAUUGACAGAGUGCAUACAUGAGCGGGCCAAACAUCCUCCUCUGAAGAAGUUUCUUCUAGUUCCAAGUGAUUUUGUCAGUGCUGUUGGGCAGCUCAACUUGCAAAUCUGCAUAUAGAGCUAUUAUAUUUUCUGCAAGGACAUGUACAUGUAGCACUUUUCCGUAGAGCUGAGUUGAAAACACUGGUUGAUUUGCAUGGUAAUGUGUUAUGUGAGGGAAACAUUGGGACUUUGGAGGAAUGGACCAUGGAGAUGAUCAAGCUGCAGUGCUAAACCCUGGGAACAAACCAUUAACACAGAUUACUGAAGAUGAUUCAUUUAGAGAAUUUGAAUUUAGACAGUAUUUUUUUGCCAGCCAAGCAAAGGUGUGCAAGACAAAGAAGUAGGAUUAACUUAGGUCGGUUUUAGAUAAUAACAGGAGAAUUUAUACAUAAUGGAAAAUUAUGUUUUUUUUUUUCAUACCAGAAGUUAUUGCAUUAUUUGUUUUCCUCAAUCAUGUUCAAUUUAUGGCAU